AUUACAUAGCAGAAAUUAGCACUGAGCAUUUCAGAUGCUUCAAAACGAGUUUGCAGUUAUGUAUUUUGGCAGAUCAAGGGGAGAUGUUUUCUUUCAAAUGGAUUAACUCAAAGAAGUAAUUUGUUUUUUACAAUAAGGGUGUUGAGGCAGUGGCACAGGUUGCCCAGAGAGGUGGUGGAUGCCCCAUCCAUGCAGAACCCCGAGGUCAGGCUGGAUGGGGCUCUGAGCACCUGAUGGAGCUGUAGGUGUCCCUGUUCAUUGCAGGGGAGUUGGUCCAGAUGGCCUUUAAGGGUCCCUUCCAACUCAAAAAAUCCUGUGAUUCUAUGAAGUGAGACGCAUCCUACGCCUACAAGAGAGUCCAGAAUGUCAGUGCUGAUUAAAACACACAAUCCAAUAUAUGCUAUUUUAGUAGGAAUAUAAUUACAUGAAGGAAAAUUCAUUUUAGUGUAUUUGAGGAAAUAUAUCCCACACUUUUGUCUCUCUGUUUCACUUUGGUUACUACACACAGAGUUGCCAACACCCACAGAAAGGGCAUCAAGAAUUAGGUACUGAUUGUUCUGUGGUGGUCCAGUUAUUCACUCAAGGAAACCCAUACACUUCUUUCCCUAUGAACUUCAAAAAUUUUCGACAGCUCCCUUCAAGGGCGGUGUCCUGGUUUCAGCAAAAAAAAGCGUUAGGGGCACACAGAGCUUCGGUCGCUGCUGAGCGGCGAGGCCGCACCCUGCGUCAGGCUGGGCCGCUGGGCGGGGCGGAGCCGCCGCCAUGAUGGACAGCAGCGGGGCCGGGGCGGGGCCGGGACUGAGUCCGCAUUGGGCAGGGGCUGUUCCAUACCGCGUGACGUCAGGCGGACGCCAUAAGGCUGUGGGAACGGCAGUGCUUGAUCGGCAGUUGUGGAGGUUGUGGUGUCGCCGUAGCUGUAGCUUUGUUUAUUGUUGUGUAUUCGUUGGUGGACGGAACAGGGAGCGCCUGCGGAGGAUGGCGAGUGCCUGCAGAGCAAGGGAGCACCUGCGGAUGAUGGGAGUACCUGCAGAGAAGAAGGAGGGUUUGCGGAGGACACAGUGCCGUCGGAGAAUACAGGUAGUGCGCCGGCGGAGGUUAGAGGUAGUGCGCUGUCAGAAGAUAGAGGUGGAGCAUCUGUGGAGGAUGGGAGCACUGUCAGAAGACAGAGGUAGUGCGCCGGUAGAGGUUAGAGGUAGUGCACCAUUGGAGGAUAAAGGUGGAGGGUUUGCGGAGGACGGGAACACCUGAGGAGAUGGGGAGUGCCUGCAGAGGACAGGAACGUCGUCAGAGGAUAGUGGUUGUGCGCUGGCAAAGGUUAGAGGUAGUGUGCUAGCAGAGGAAAGAGGUGCAACAGCUGCGGGGGAUGGGAGAGCCAUCAGAAGAUAGAGGUAGUGCGCCAGCAGAGGUUAGAUGUAGUGCGACAUUGGAAGAUAGAGGUGGAGUGUCUGUGGAGAAUGAAAGCACCUGCAGAGAACAGGGAGCGCCAGCAGAGGAUGGGAGCACCGUCAGAAGAUAGAGGUAGCACGCCGGUGGAGGUUAGAUGUAGUGUGCCAUCAGAGAAUAGAGGUGGAGUACCUGCAGAGGACAGGGAGCACCUGUGGGGAACAGGGAGCGCUUGCAGAGGACAGGAGCACCGUCAGAAUAUAGAGGUAGUGCGCCAGCAGAGGUUAGAGGUAGUGCACCAUUGGAGGACAGAGGUGGAUGGUCUGUGGAGGACAGGAGCACCUGAAGAAAACAGGGAGCACCUACGGGGGACGGGAGCUCAGUCAGAAGACAAAGGUAGCACCAGCAGAGAUUAGAGGUAACACACCAGCAGAGGAUAAGAGGUAGCACGCCGGCAAAGGUUAGAGGUAGUGCACUGUCAGACGAUAGAGGUGUAACGUAUGCGGAGAAAAAGAGGACCUGCGGAGAACAAGGAGUGCCAGCAGAUGAUGGGAGCACAAUCAGAAGAUAGAGGUAGCUUGCCGGCAGAGGUUAGAGGUAGUGCACUGUUGGAGGAUCAAAGUAGUGGGUCUGCGGAGAACAGGAGAACCUGCGGAGAACAGGGAGUGACUGCAGAGGACGGGAACACCGGCAGAAAACAGAAUUAGUGCACCGGCAGAGGUUAGAUGUAGUGCGCUGUUGGAGGAUAGAGGUGGAAUGUCUGCGGAGGAAAAGAGCACCUGCAGGGAACUGGAAGUAAUUGCGGAGGACAGGAGUGCCGUCAUAAGACAGAUUUAGUGCACUGGCAGAGGUUAGAUGUAGUGUGCCAUCAGAAGAUAUAGGUGGAGCAUCUGCGGAGGACAGGAGCAUCUGCGGAGAACACAGACGGCCUGCAGAUGAUGGGAGUGUUGUCAGAAGAUAGAGGUAGUGCGCUGGCAGAGGUUAGAUGUAGUGCCCCAUCAGAGGAUCGAGGUGGAGGGUCUAGGGAGGAAGAGAUCACCUGCAGAGAACAUGGAGAGCCUGUGCAGGACGGGAGCGCUGUCGAAAGACAGAGUUAGUGAGCUGGCAGAGUUUAGAUGCAGUGUGCCAUCACGGGAUAGAGGUGAAGAGUCUGCGGAGGACGGGAGCACCUGUGAAGAACAAAGAGUGCCUGCAGAUGACGGGAGCGCGAACAGAAGAUAGAGGUAGCACACUGGCAGUGGUUACAGGUAGUGCGCUGUCACAGGAUCGAAGUGCAAGGUCUGGGGAGGAUGGGAAUAUCUGUGGAGAUCAAGGAGUGCCUGCAGAUGAUGGAAGCAUGAUCUGAAGAUAGAGGUAGCUUGCAGGCAGAGGUUAGAGGUAGUGUGCUGUUGGAGGAUUGAGGUGGAGGGUCUGCAGAGGACGGGAGCACCUGCGGCAAGCAGGGACUGACUGCGGAGAACGGGAGUGCUGUCAGAAGGAAUAGCUAGUGAACCGGCAGAGGUUAGAGGUAGUGUGCCUUGAGAGGAUAUAGGUGGAACAUCUGCCGAGAAUGGGAGCACGUGUAGAGAACACAGAGCGCCAGCAGAUGAUGGGAGCGUUGUAAGAAGAUAGAGGUAGUGCGCCGGCAGAGGUCAGAGGUAGUGCGCUGUCUGAGGAUAGAUGUGGAGCGUCUGCAGAGGACAAGAGCAUCUGCGGAGAACACAGACGGCUUGCAUAUAAUGGGAGCGUGGUUAGAAGAUUGAGGUAGUGCGCCGGCAGAGGUUAGAGGUAUUGUGCCAUCAGAGGACCGUGGUGGAGGGUCUGCGGAGGAUCGGAGCACCUGCGGAGAACAGGGAGCACCUGUGGAGGACGGGAGCGCUGUUAGAAGGCAUAGUUAGUGCGCCGGCAGAGGUUAGAUGUAGUGUGCCUUCAGAAAAUAGAGGUGGAGCAUCUGUGGAGCAUAGGAGCACCUGCGGAGAACAGGGAGCAUGUGCGGAGGACGGGAGCGCUGUCAGAAGGCUUAGUUAGUGCGCCGGCAGAGGUUAGAUGCAGUGUGCCUUCAGAGGAUAUAAGUGGAGCAUCUGCGGAGGAUAGGAGCAACUGCAGAGAGCACAGAGCGCCGGCAGAUGAUGGGAGCGUUGUCAGAAGAUAGAGGUAGUGCGCCGGCAGAGUUUAGAGGUAGUGCAUCAUCAGAGGAUAUACGUGAAGCGUCUGCGGAGGACAAGAGCAUCUGCGGAGAACAGAGACCACUUGCAGAUGAUGGGAGCGUGGUUAGGAGAUAGAGGUAGUGCGCCAGCAGAGGUUAGAGGCAUUGUGCCAUCAGAGGAUCGAGGUGGAGGGUCUGCGAAGGAUGGGAGCACCUGCAGCGAACAGGGAGCACCUGCGGAGGACAGGAGCGCUGUCAGAAGACAUAGUGCGCCGGCAGAGGUUAGAUGUAGUGCAUCAUCAGAGGAUCGAGUUGGAGCGUCUGCGGAGGACAAGACCAUCUGUGGAGAACAGAGACUGCUUACAGAUGAUGGGAGCGUGGUUAGAAGAUAUAGGUAUUGUGCCAGCAGAGGUUAGAGGUAGUGUGCCAUCAGAGGAUCAAGGUGGAGUGUCUGCGGAGGAUCGGAGUACCUCAUGAGAACAGGGAGCACCUGCGGAGGACAGGAGUGCUGUCAGCAGGCAUAGUUAGUGCGCCGGCAGAGGUUAGAUGUAGUGUGCCUUCAGAGGAUAGAUGUAAAGCACCUGUGGUUGAUGGGGUUACCUGCAGAGAACACAGAACAUCUGUAGAUGAUGGCAGCACUGUCAGAAUGCAUAGUUAGUGCCCCGGCAGAGGAUAGAGGUAGUGCACUCUCAGAGGAUAGAGCUGGAACUUCUGCGGAGGAUGGGAGCACCUGCGGAGAACAGGAAGCGAUUGCCAAGGACAGGAGCACCAUCAGAAGACAGAGUUAGUGCGCCGGCAGAGGUUACAUGUAGUGCAUCAUCAGAGGAUCGAGUUGGAGCGUUUGCGGAGGACGAGAGCAUCUGCGGAGAACAGAGACUGCUUGCAGAUGAUGGGAGCGUGGUUAGAAGAUAGAGGUAGUGCGCCGGCAGAGGUUAGAGGUAGUGUGCCAUCAGAGGAUCGAGGUGGAGGGUCUGCGGAGGAUCGUAGCACCUGCGGAGAACAGGGAGCACCUCUGGAGGACGGGAGCACUGUCAGAAGGCAUAGUUAGUGCGCCGGCAGAGGUUAGAUGUAGUGCAUCAUCAGAGGAUAAAGGUGGAGCAUCUGCAGAGGACAGGAGCACCUGUGGAGAACAAGGAGCGCCUGCAGAUGAUGGGUGCGCUGUCAGAAGAAAGAGGUAGCAUGCUGGCAGAGGUUAGAGGUAGUGCUCUGUCACUGGAUCGACGUUGAGGGUCUGCGGAGGAUGGGAGCACCUGUGGUGAACAGGGAGUGACUGUGGAGGACAGGAGCGCCGUCAGAAGACAGAAUUAGUGCGCCGGCAGAGGUUAUAUGUAGUGUGCCAUCACGGGAUAGAGGUGGAGCAUCUGCCGAGGACAGGAGCACCUGCGGAAAACAGGGAGCACCUGCAGAUGACGGGAGCACCAUCUGAAGAUAGAGGUCGUGCGCCGUCGGAGGUUAGCAGUAGCAUCCUGGCAGAGGAUAAGAGUUAGCGCGCUAUCGGAGGUUAGAGGUAGUGUGCUGUUCGUGGAUAGAGGUAGAAUGUCAGUGGUUGAAAGGAGCACCUGUGGAGAACAGGGAGUGAUUGCAGAGGAUGGGAUCACCGUCAGAAAACAGAGUUUGUUUGCUGGCAGAGGUUAGAUGUAGUGCGCCAUCCGAUGAUAGAGGUGGAGUUUCUACGGAGUACGGGAGCACCUGCAGAGAACAAGGUGUGCCUGCAAAUGACAGGAGCGCGAUCGGAAGAUAGAGGUAGAAGAUAGUGCACAGGCGGAGGUUACCGGUAGUGCGCUGUCGGAGCAUCAAGGUGGAGGUUCUGUUUCGCCAUCCGAUGAUAGAGGUGGAGUUUCUACGGAGGAUGGGAGCACCUGCGUAGAACAGGGAGCGCCUGCGGACGAUGGGAGCACCGUAAGAAAAUAGAAGUAAUUCGCUGGCUGGGUUUUGCAAUAGCAUGCCUUCAGAAGAUUGAGGUGGAUUGCCUCCAGAGGACGGUGAGCGCCUGUAGAGGACAGGAGCACCUGUGGAGAACAGGGAUUGCCUGCACAGUAUGGGAACAUCAUCAGAGUGUAGAGGUAGUGCACCGGCAGAGGAUUGAGGAAGUGCGCCAGCAGAGGAAAGAGGUGCGGCACCUGUGGGGGAUGGGAGCACCGUCAGAAGAUUGAGGUAGCACGCCAGCGGAGGUUAGAGGUAGCUUGCCAUUGGAGGAUGGAUGUAGUGCACCGGCCGAGGUUGGAUGUAGUGUUCUGUCAGAUGAUAGAGGUGGAGUGCCUGUGGAGGACAGCGAGUGCCUGCAGAGGACGAGAGCACCUGAGGAAAACAGGAAGCACCUGCGGAGGACUGGAGCGCCGUUAGAAGAUAGAGGUAUCUCGCUGGCUGAGUUUAGUGGUAACACACCAGCAACGGAUAGACGUAGUGUGCCGCCAGUGGAUAGAGGUAGAGCGCCAGCAGAAGAUAGGAGGUAGGACACUGGUGGAGGUUACAGAUAGUGCGCCGUCGGAGGAUAGAUGUGGAGCAUUUGCGGAGGAUGGGAGUAGCUGAGGAGAACAGGGAGUGCCGGCGGAUGACAGGAGCACUGUCAGAAGAUAGAGGUAGCGCGCCAUUGGAUGAUAGUGAUGGAGCAUCUGCGGAGGAUGGGAGCACCUGCGGAGAACAGGGAACGUCUGCAGAGAAUGGGAGCACCGUCAGACGAUAGAGGUAGCGCGUCAGUGGAGUUUAGAGAUAGCGCGCUUCCAGAAGACAGAGGUGGAGCACCUGCUGAGGGCGGCAAGCACCUGUAGAGGACGGGAGCACCUGCGGAGAAUAGGGAGCGCCUGCCGAGGACAGAGCACCGUCAGAAGAUAGAGGUAGCGCGCCAGCAGAGGAUAAGAGGUAGCACCCUGGCGGAGGUUACAGGUUGUGUGCCAUUGGAGGAUAGAUGUGGAGCACCAGCAGAGGACAGCGAGCGCCUGCAGAGGACGGGAGCAUCUGCAGAGAACAGGGAGCACCUGCGGCGGACGGGAGCGCCAUCGGAGUAUAGAUGCAACGCGCCGGCGGAGAUUAGAGGAAGCACACCUGCGGAGGUUACUAGCGCGCUGUCAGAGGAUAGAAGUGGAGUGCCAUUGGAGGACAGCGAGCACCUGCGGAGGACAGGAGCGCCAGCAGAAG
rnacentral:lncRNA from 1 species